ACAUUACCAUCAGUUAAAAGGCAGACUGUUUCAGGAUAGGUGAAAAAAAUUCAAUACUGUAGCCAUUAGCUACAAAUCACUAUUCAUAUACAAAUUACAAUUAAAUACAGUUGAAAAUUCAAUAGCAUUCACAUUCAUCACAUUGCAAGUAUUCAGUGGCCACAUGUGGAUAACAGGUUGGAAAGUGCAAAUGAAGACUAUUUCCAUGGUGGCAGGACAGUCUAUGUGCAACAAUGAUUUAAACUAUGAUACUUACAUCCAGAAUUUUAUCACAGGUUUAGGACAACUAAAUCACAGAUUUAGGACAACUUAAACAGGUAAAAGCGAAUUCUGAGCCAGUUACAAAGAAAGACUUGAGAUUUUUUUACUUUUCUCUCCUUAGGAUCUAGAUGACUUCCAGUUUUCUGAGGUUGGCUGGAUGCCCUUCAGUGGCUAUUGUUAAUUGUCCCAUCCUGGUGCGACAGCUGAGUCCUUUGUGGCUGGACCCUAGAGUCUCCAGUGAGCAGCAGUGACCUGAGUUCCAGAAUGAAGAGACUUUAACAAUCAUCCAGGCCAGAAGAGGAUGCUGGGUCCUCAGUCAGCCUGUGUCCGUCUCUGAAAUAAUGCUGAGCUUCACCCUCUCCCAUCUGCCUCUGGAUGUACCUGCUUGUGCUAAAGGGACCACUGUUCUCCCAAUAACCCUCCUGAUGAUCUGUUCCAUGCAGGCCACUCUGGGUCCUGCUCACUGGGGUGGAGAUCCCAGAUUCCUUCAUGCCCCCUGGCCUGGGUGUCAUCCUCACCCCACUCUCAGGGGCUGUCGUACUUCUCUGUCUCUGUCCCCAUGAAACCCUGGCAGCCCCUGAGGCUGCCCUUGGGCCAGCUGUCUGGGCAUCUCUCAGAUUUUGCUGCUGCUACUUUCUCUAAGAGACUUGCAGGCUUCCCAGGCUUUGCUUUGAGAGGGAAGAGCUAGUCCUUUCCCACCUCGGGUUCUCUAAACCCAUCUUGGAUUUCCAGUUGUCUUCACCACUGGACUCAGCCUAGGCGGGAAGUGAAGCAUCAAACACUCACAGACUCACCCUCCGCCUCUUCGCUCCCCUUUGAAGUUCUUUCCCACGGCAGGAAAAGUCUUUCAUCCUCUUCCUGUGUGGCUGAAUAUGGACUCUUCAUCCUUCUCUUCACCAUAUAUUGUUUGAGGGUAAACUUUAUGUUUUUCUCCCUCGGGCUUUGGAUGUUGAUAAUU
ensembl:lncRNA